GGAGCGUUCUGUAAGCCUGCGAAGGUGUGCUGUGAGGCAUGCUGGAGGUAUCAGAAGUGCGAAUGCUGACAUAAGUAACGAUAAAGCGGGUGAAAAGCCCGCUCGCCGGAAGACCAAGGGUUCCUGUCCAACGUUAAUCGGGGCAGGGUGAGUCGACCCCUAAGGCGAGGCCGAAAGGCGUAGUCGAUGGGAAACAGGUUAAUAUUCCUGUACUUGGUGUUACUGCGAAGGGGGGACGGAGAAGGCUAUGUUGGCCGGGCGACGGUUGUCCCGGUUUAAGCGUGUAGGCUGGUUUUCCAGGCAAAUCCGGAAAAUCAAGGCUGAGGCGUGAUGACGAGGCACUACGGUGCUGAAGCAACAAAUGCCCUGCUUCCAGGAAAAGCCUCUAAGCAUCAGGUAACAUCAAAUCGUACCCCAAACCGACACAGGUGGUCAGGUAGAGAAUACCAAGGCGCUUGAGAGAACUCGGGUGAAGGAACUAGGCAAAAUGGUGCCGUAACUUCGGGAGAAGGCACGCUGAUAUGUAGGUGAAGUCCCUUGCGGAUGGAGCUGAAAUCAGUCGAAGAUACCAGCUGGCUGCAACUGUUUAUUAAAAACACAGCACUGUGCAAACACGAAAGUGGACGUAUACGGUGUGACGCCUGCCCG
rnacentral:rRNA from 1 species